GGGUAGAGCAUUCCAGGCGUUGACCAUUCUGUUGCUGAAGUCAUAUUUUCUGCAAUCGAGUUUGAAGAGAUUAUUGUGUUGAUACAUCAUGUUUCUGGCUUUGAUUUGGCAUGUUGUAUGAAUCCAGCCUGA